rnacentral:misc_RNA from 1 species
AAGUCGUAACAAGGUAACCGUAGGUGAACCUGCGGUUGGAUCAUUAAAAAGAUCUAGCCCGAUUUUGCACCUGGCCUUGAGCUGGUGGAAUGACAGGCUUUUCUCACGUACGUGAGUCAACAUCAUGUGAACUGUUUUGUCUCUGGCGGUGGGAUGGCUCAAAACCGUCUGUCAGCAUCCGAGGUAAUCUCGGUGUGCCGUGGACAAGCCGCCAACGGUGUAUGCUUCAUACAAACUUUUUGUUUCAUUAAAACUGUCUGACCUACUUUUGUAUCUAAAUAAUACAAAAACAACUUUUGGCAACGGAUCUCUUGGCUCCC